rnacentral:rRNA from 1 species
AUUGAACGCUGGCGGCGUGCUUAACACAUGCAAGUCGAACGAAGUGGCGAACGGGUGAGUAACGCGUAAUCAACCUGCCCUCCAGAGGGGUACAACAGUGGGAAACGACUUCUAAUACCGCAUACUGCAGUAGGGGAUUUCGUCUGAUUAGUUAGUUGGAGGGGUAACGGCCCACCAAGGCGAUGAUCAGUAGCCGGUCUGAGAGGAUGAACGGCCACAUUGGGACUGAGACACGGCCCAGACUCCUACGGGAGGCAGCAGUGGGGAAUCUUCCGCAAUGGACGAAAGUCUGACGGAGCAACGCCGCGUGAGUGAUGACGGCCUUCGGGUUGUAAAGCUCUGUUAAUCGGGACGCGGUACCGGAAUAGAAAGCCACGGCUAACUACGUGCCAGCAGCCGCGGUAAUUC